rnacentral:rRNA from 2 species
UUGNCGNGAAUUUUUGCUUGCACCAAUUUGAAGAGCAGCGAACGGGUGAGUAACGCGUGGGGAAUCUGCCUUUGAGCGGGGGACAACAUUUGGAAACGAAUGCUAAUACCGCAUAACAACUUUAAACAUAAGUUUUAAGUUUGAAAGAUGCAAUUGCAUCACUCAAAGAUGAUCCCGCGUUGUAUUAGCUAGUUGGUGAGGUAAAGGCUCACCAAGGCGAUGAUACAUAGCCGACCUGAGAGGGUGAUCGGCCACAUUGGGACUGAGACACGGCCCAAACUCCUACGGGAGGCAGCAGUAGGGAAUCUUCGGCAAUGGACGAAAGUCUGACCGAGCAACGCCGCGUGAGUGAAGAAGGUUUUCGGAUCGUAAAACUCUGUUGGUAGAGAAAAACGUUGGUGAGAGUGGAAAGCUCAUCAAGUGACGGUAACUACCCAGAAAGGGACGGCUAACUACGUGCCAGCAGCCGCGGUAAUACGUAGGUCCCGAGCGUUGUCCGGAUUUAUUGGGCGUAAAGCC